CCACAUCCUGCACUAUCACGUUCCUCAGUUUUCUCUGCCGGGGGUUGUAGUUCUCAGUGCGUUUGUGGAUUUGAAUGUGUCGUCGCAAGUGUGCCUGGAAGAGGAAGCGUGUAGAGGGGGUAAAAAUGCAAUUUAUGGACGUUUAUAUGCGAUGAGCCUUCAUGAGUGUCACAGCUACUGCUACAACUCCAACUGCUGACCGUGUUAAUAAACGAAGACAGGGCCUUGCGCUUCCGUGCUGUUGAUGUUGAUGGGGCUAUGGAACUGGGCUCGGCAAUGGGCACGUACUCCUCAUCUGUGUCUUCAGUGAUGCCUUCAAAAUCCCCCACAUCAUCAUCUUCUUCUUCUACUUCUCCUAUUACAUGGCCAACACCAUUAUCAUUUUCGUCAAUCUGCAGCUCUGUUACCUGCAAACAGCACAAGACAGGUUCACCAGUUGGCUGAUCUGAGCUUUGGUUCUCCACAACAUCCCCACUUUCUCUCUCCGUGGGAAUAAGUGGAGGCCUCUUGAUGGAUUUUUCAGAGGCUGUAAGAUCAGUGAUGGGGCUCCCAUCAGUCACCAGUCGCC